rnacentral:rRNA from 1 species
UACACUUCGACGGUCUUCUGGUUGAGCGCCGUGUACCUCCACCUCUCCUUCUCCACGAAGUCGGCGUCCAAGAACUUGGCCACGAACGCCCACAGCUUGUACGCGUCCUCGAAGUUGCUCAAGAACCCCAGCGACGCAUUCACCACGUGGAUCCCCACCUCGCCGCCGCCGUCGCUUGCCUGCUCAAGAACGGCGCUCCUGUCGGCCUCGUACUUAUCGGCGAACCAGAUGUUGCGCAGGAAGCCGCAGGUGAGGGAGAUGGCCUGCCGGUCGGCAAGCUUCUGCACCAGCGCCGGCGCCACCUUCUCCCCCUUCCAGUCGUACACGUUGAACGCCAGCGAGGGCCCCCGCUCGAACUUGACGCGCGGCCCGUACACCCGCACCAGCUGCUUCCCGCCGCCGUGCUCCGGGUGCGGGUGCCGCAGCUUCUGCAUCGCCACCACCAGCCAGUUGCUGAUGCACCGCAGCCGGUUGCCGAUGGCGAUGAGGCCCAGGGCGUCCGCGUGGUCCAGCCCCCUGCACUCCACCUCCAGCAUGCGCUCCUCCUCUGCUUCGGCUGCUCCCGGCGGCGGCCAUGGCCGACUGUCUUCUUCGGCUUCGGAUGGCCUACGGUCGACCUCGCAAAUUUCCGGCGUGUCGCCGUUCUCGGCCUCGUCUGUCCUGCGACCGGUGGCGGUGGCGCUGAGCGGGCCGGAAAAUGAGCAGGUGGUAUCGACAUCGUCCGCCGUUGGCGGGUCGCCCGCUUUGGGGAAGGUGAGCGAGUGCUCCAGGUCGGUGGAAUAG